UACUUUCACCACACCCUAUGCACAUUAUGCUUUGGAUUAUCUUGCACUUGAGAUUGCCUAUUGCACAUGCUCUAAUGCACUUGAUGACCCUCUCAUUGCCACUUCCCAUGCUCUUACCAAUUUAUAGGGCUAUAAAGCCCCCUCUCUAGAGACUUGGAGAUCAUCGAGGCAUUUCUAGGGUUUCCCCCUUCCGCCGCCAGUGUUCCUGGUUGGCUAGUUCCUCUUGUAACGUGCUUGUAACCUCAAAUCCUUCCUCUGAAAGUGCCAUGAUAAUGCAAACUUAGCCUGAAUGUGUGAACUUAGUUCAUCCAUUCUACUCGGGUCUGCCAAUUGGUAAUCAUAUCUUGGUUUAGUCCUUGGCGGUGGUUGGAUCUGGGUGCCGAGGAGAAGUUGGAGGAGCUGUAAAAUCCUUCCCCUCCCUCCCAAAUCUCGGCGACGGUGUGUUCUUGGUGGCGCAGAUGGCGACGACUCAUUUGGGUGCAGGUUUGGGAGGCGGCACCCAGAUCCGGUGUACCUAGGCGACGGGCGCAGGCGGCGGCGUACGGUGGCAGGAUCAGCAACAGCAAGAUCGGGUUGUAGCUUUUGCUGUGGUAAAAUUCCUCCUUCGUUUCGCUGAUUUCUUCAGUUGAGGUGCUU
rnacentral:lncRNA from 1 species